rnacentral:rRNA from 1 species
CGACAGCGACCUCAGGUCAG